GAUGAACGCUGGCGGCGUGCCUAAUACAUGCAAGUUGAGCGAACAGAUGAGGAGCUUGUUCCUCUUACAUUAGCGGCGGACGGGUGAGUAACACGUGGAUAACCUACCUAUAAGACUGGGAUAACUUCUGGAAACCGGUGCUAAUACCGGAUAAUAUAUUUAAACGCAUGGUUCAAGAUUGAAAGACGGUAUUGCUUUAAUUAAUAAAGGUAUCGGGUCCGAAUUAGCUGGUGGGGAAGGAAACGGCUUACCAAGGGAAGAAUGAUUACCCGCCCUAAGAGGUUGUUGGCCAACAUUGGACCUGAGCCACGCUCCAGCUCCCUCCGGGAGCAAGCAGUAGGGAACCUCCCGCAAUGAGGGAAAGCUUGACGGAGCAACGCCGCGGGAGUAAUGAAGGCUUUCGAAUCUAAAAACUCUUUUAUUAAGGAAAACCAUAUGUGUAGGUAACUGUGCACCUAUUGACGGUACCUAACCAGAAAGCCACGGCUAACUACGUG
rnacentral:rRNA from 1 species